rfam:Pseudomonas sp. 63_8 DS1215_scaffold_312, whole genome shotgun sequence.
AAAGUUCGAUACUGGUAAGAAAUGGCGAAUCAACCAGACCCCGAGUCAUGCAUGUUGCACCGCGAGGUGCAGGGUGAAGCGUUGACAGGGGAAACCGAUGGGCCAGCCAUUGAGCCGCGUAAUCAGGAAUUCGGGAUGCCGAUGCUGUUAAGCGAAGCAGAAGGCAACACGGAGCAUGGCGUUAUACGCCAGUCAUGCUCUGAUCCCGCGCGGUCGGAGACCC